GGCUCUGUAACUCAGAUGGUAGUCGGUAGAGCAGUGGACAUGUAACCCGAAGGUCGUGGGUUAGAUUCCCACCUGAGCCA